GAUGAACGCUGGCGGCGUGCCUAAUACAUGCAAGUCGAGCGAAUGGAUUAAGAGCUUGCUCUUAUGAAGUUAGCGGCGGACGGGUGAGAAACACGUGGGUAACCUGCCCAUAAGACUGGGAUAACUCCGGGAAACCGGGGCUAAUACCGGAUAACAUUUUGAACCGCAUGGUUCGACAUUGAAAGGCGGCUUCGGCUGUCACUUAUGGAUGGACCCGCGUCGCAUUAGCUAGUUGGUGAGGUAACGGCUCACCAAGGCAACGAUGCGUAGCCGACCUGAGAGGGUGAUCGGCCACACUGGGACUGAGACACGGCCCAGACUCCUACGGGAGGCAGCAGUAGGGAAUCUUCCGCAAUGGACGAAAGUCUGACGGAGCAACGCCGCGUGAGUGAUGAAGGCUUUCGGGUCGUAAAACUCUGUUGUUAGGGAAGAACAAGUGCUAGUUGAAUAAGCUGGCACCUUGACGGUACCUAACCAGAAAGCCACGGCUAACUACGUGCCAGCCGCCGCCGUAA
rnacentral:rRNA from 1 species